rnacentral:rRNA from 1 species
AUUGAACGCUGGCGGCAUGCCUUACACAUGCAAGUCGAACGGCAGCACGGGUGCUUGCACCUGGUGGCGAGUGGCGAACGGGUGAGUAAUACAUCGGAACGUACCUUAUCGUGGGGGAUAACGCAGCGAAAGCUGUGCUAAUACCGCAUACGCCCUGAGGGGGAAAGCGGGGGAUCGCAAGACCUCGCGCGAUUAGAGCGGCCGAUGCCUGAUUAGCUUGUUGGUGGGGUAAAAGCCCACCAAGGCGACGAUCAGUAGCUGGUCUGAGAGGACGAUCAGCCACACUGGGACUGAGACACGGCCCAGACUCCGACGGGAGGCAGCAGUGGGGAAUUUUGGACAAUGGGGGCAACCCUGAUCCAGCAAUGCCGCGUGAGUGAAGAAGGCCUUCGGGUUGUAAAGCUCUUUUGUCAGGGAAGAAACACCGGCUCUAACACAGUCCGGGAAUGACGGUACCUGAAGAAUAAGCACCGGCUAACUACGUGCCAGCAGCCGCCAUAA